rnacentral:rRNA from 1 species
UACGUAGGGUGCGAGCGUUGUCCGGAUUUAUUGGGCGUAAAGAGCUCGUAGGCGGUUUGUCGCGUCUGUCGUGAAAGCUUGGGGCUUAACCCCAAGUCUGCGGUGGAUACGGGCAGACUAGAGGCAGGUAGGGGAGAACGGAAUUCCCGGUGUAGCGGUGAAAUGCGCAGAUAUCGGGAGGAACACCGGUGGCGAAGGCGGUUCUCUGGGCCUGUACUGACGCUGAGGAGCGAAAGCGUGGGGAGCGAACAGG